rnacentral:rRNA from 1 species
GAUGAACGCUGGCGGCGUGCCUAAUACAUGCAAGUCGAGCGAACGGACGAGAAGCUUGCUUCUCUGAUGUUAGCGGCGGACGGGUGAGUAACACGUGGAUAACCUACCUAUAAGACUGGGAUAACUUCGGGAAACCGGAGCUAAUACCGGAUAAUAUUUUGAACCGCAUGGUUCAAAAGUGAAAGACGGUCUUGCUGUCACUUAUAGAUGGAUCCGCGCUGCAUUAGCUAGUUGGUAAGGUAACGGCUUACCAAGGCAACGAUGCAUAGCCGACCUGAGAGGGUGAUCGGCCACACGGGAACUGAGACACGUCCCAAACUCCUACGGGAGGCAGCAGAAGGGAAUCUUCCGCAGGGGGCGAAAGCCUGACGGAGCAACGCGGCGUGGGUGAUGAAGGUCUUCGAAUCGUAAAACUCUGUUAUUAGGGAAGAACAUAUGUGUAAGUAACUGUGCACAUCUGGACGGUACCUAUCAGAAAGCCACGGCUAACUACGUG